UUUGUGAUAGUAUUCAAUUAAGUUUAAGUUUAAUACACUCAUAAAAUGUUUCUUCAUGGCAGCCUUACGUUGACUUGGCGAAUAGCUAUGGCACUGGGAAAAUGUCAGAAUUAAAGAGUUGUCUUGAGACAAACAUGGAGAAGUUCAAAACUGUUUUGGAUGCUUCUUGUACAUGCCUGACUAGCAACGAAAUCCACUUCAAGAAUAUCAGCCCAUUGCAGGGAAACUUCUCAGGGAGGAAUUUAGGCUCAUUGCAAGAAAAGGGCCUACAUCACACAUAGUGGACACGUGAUCAUGGCCAGUUAGGUUGGUGUUGUAGACAUUUGCCAGAAGACGUGGCUAGGAAAGGAAGACAUAUGAUCGGUCUAGAAGGGGACCGUACUGAAACAGUUCAUGUGAAACGCUAGGAAAGGAAGACAUUUACAGUUUGUUUUGAAAACUUUAAAUAGACCAUUAAUUGUAUAAUUGUUGUCUUGAUGAAUGUUAGAU